AAUGGGUUAGGGUAAACACUGUUGAAAGCACUUUUCAUCUCUUGCCCAUUUUGGAUUGAACAAACUUAAAUGCAAAGAGCAAAAUAAUCAAGGAAGAGGGAAUAUGAUUGUCCAGGACUCACAGACACAUGAGCCCUGUCAACCUCAGGAGAUCAUUGAGAAAACCAACUGAUUUAAGUUCAUCUGCUGACACCGUGGGAGGAGACAGAGUGUGCAAGGGGCUCGGGAGGUGGACAGCUACCUCAGGAGAAGGAGAAAUAAGAGUACAGGUGAGUAGCAGCUGUGGCUAAUCCAGCAUCUGUUCUAGAGCAGACAGUUGAAGCC
ensembl:lincRNA